ACAAUGUGAGGAAAGUCCGUGCAUUCAAGGACAAAUCGCCGGGGAAACCCCGGACGGCGCGAGCCGGUGGAAAGUGCUACAGAAAACAUACUGCCGAUGGAAAUUGUAAAUUUCACAGGCGAUGGUGCAACGGUGAGUUAAGAGCUUCACCAGCAACACUGAGAAGUGUUGGCUAAGUAAACCCCGAUUGAAUGCAAGAUUAACUUGAAGGUUAAAGGCUGUCCGCCCACUUCAGAAAUAUCGCUAGAGAUUGCGGGUAACCGCAAUACCAGACAGAUGAUUAUCUAUAAACAGAACACGGCUUACGGGCUGCUUUA
rnacentral:RNase_P_RNA from 1 species